rnacentral:lncRNA from 10 species
GGGGUGGUAGGGAGUGGCCCAGGGCCUGCUUCUUCUUAUCAGGAGAGGUUGCAAAAAUAAGCCUUCCUUUCAGAGUCUUCAAAGUCCUAAGGAUCCUAAAAUAACCAUUUGAGAACACGUCCUGAAUGUUCACCUCUGUGCAGGACGGUUGCUUCUAGGUCAAGUGCCUGGUGCCAGGCCACAGCCCACGGGGUGUAUUGGCUCCAUUA